rnacentral:rRNA from 1 species
GGGGAAUAUUGCACAAUGGGCGCAAGCCUGAUGCAGCCAUGCCGCGUGUGUGAAGAAGGCCUUCGGGUUGUAAAGCACUUUCAGCGAGGAGGAAGGCAGUCGUGUUAAUAGCACGGUUGAUUGACGUUACUCGCAGAAGAAGCACCGGCUAACUCCGUGCCAGCAGCCGCGGUAAUACGGAGGGUGCAAGCGUUAAUCGGAAUUACUGGGCGUAAAGCGCACGCAGGCGGUUUGUUAAGUCAGAUGUGAAAUCCCCGCGCUUAACGUGGGAACUGCAUUUGAAACUGGCAAGCUAGAGUCUUGUAGAGGGGGGUAGAAUUCCAGGUGUAGCGGUGAAAUGCGUAGAGAUCUGGAGGAAUACCGGUGGCGAAGGCGGCCCCCUGGACAAAAGACUGACGCUCAGGUGCGAAAGCGUGGGGAGCAAAACAGGAUUAGAUACCCUGGUAGUCCACGCUGUAAACGAUGUCGACUUGGAGGUUGUGCCCUUGAGGCGUGGCUUCCGGAGCUAACGCGUUAAGUCGACCGCCUGGGGGAGUACGGCCGCAAGGUUAAAAAC